UUGGUUCUCUCGCAAUGUAAAUCUGUGAACCCGGUCAGGUCCGGAAGGAAGCAGCCGCAGCAGGUCAUACAUGUGCCGAGAUGUCGCUGG
rnacentral:SRP_RNA from 1 species